UACGGAGGGUGCAAGCGUUAUCCGGAUUCACUGGGUUUAAAGGGUGCGUAGGCGGGUCGUUAAGUCAGGGGUGAAAUCCCAGAGCUCAACUCUGGAACUGCCUUUGAUACUGGCGACCUAGAGUUCGGAAGAGGUUAGUGGAAUUCCCAGUGUAGAGGUGAAAUUCGUAGAUAUUGGGAAGAACACCAGUGGCGAAGGCGGCUAACUGGUCCGAUACUGACGCUGAGGUGCGAAAGCGUGGGGAGCAAACAGG
rnacentral:rRNA from 1 species